rnacentral:lncRNA from 1 species
GUGGUGUGAGUGAUCUUUUGUCCUACGGUGUUAGUGGCUAUUUGCAGUGAGGCUACUGGGUUUGACUACAUAUUUCUUUGGUCCCUAGCCAUUCAGAUCCUUGCUAUGUAUGUUGGCUUCAGUAGGUUCAGAUUCGCUAUUUGGAGUAGGAUGCACCUAGAUAGGAUCUAUCGAUCUUGGUAGAAAAAAAAAUUCUAUGCAAUUUGUAAGACUG